rnacentral:rRNA from 1 species
AGAGUUUGAUCCUGGCUCAGGAUGAACGCUAGCGGCAGGCUUAAUACAUGCAAGUCGUGGGGCAGCGCAGGUAGCAAUACUGGGCGGCGACCGGCAAACGGGUGCGGAACACGUACACAACCUUCCUUCAAGUGGGGAAUAGCCCAGAGAAAUUUGGAUUAAUACCCCGUAACAUAACGAUGUGGCAUCACAUUGUUAUUAUAGCUUCGGCGCUUGUUGAUGGGUGUGCGGCUGAUUAGAUAGUUGGCGGGGUAACGGCCCACCAAGUCUACGAUCAGUAGCUGAUGUGAGAGCAUGAUCAGCCACACGGGCACUGAGACACGGGCCCGACUCCUACGGGAGGCAGCAGUAAGGAAUAUUGGUCAAUGGACGAAAGUCUGAACCAGCCAUGCCGCGUGAAGGAUUAAGGUCCUCUGGAUUGUAAACUUCUUUUAUCUGGGACGAAAAAAAGGCGAUUCUUCGUCACUUGACGGUACCAGAUGAAUAAGCACCGGCUAACUCCGUGCCAGCAGCCGCGGUAAUACGGAGGGUGCAAGCGUUAUCCGGAUUCACUG